CAUUAAGAAGCUAAAUAGCAUUAACCUUUUAAGUUAAAGACUGAGAGCCUACGGCUCUCCUUAAU
rnacentral:tRNA from 1 species